rnacentral:lncRNA from 1 species
CAUAUCUCGCGAACCCUAAUUUGGGUGGGAAGGGGACUACCUCUUGGUAGUCCCUCAUUAGCCAAGCUUGCAACGCAAGGGUGUUGCUCCCUCCACCACCACCCCUUGCUCCCUCCACCUCCCCAACCCUUACAAAAUUAUUUUAAUUACAAAAGUAGCAUUUUUUAAUUUUAACAUUAUUUAUUUACUUUAUUCUGAAACUCUAAAUUCCUUCCCAUUUUUACUCAUCUAUUUUUACUCGCGCAGUCCCACCCCUACUCUCCCAAGUUUCACUUUAUCUCUUUCCAGAUUCCCACUCCCUCAAACUCUCACCAGAUCCGUUUCUUCUCAUCUCCCAACUCUUACUUCUCUUCUCCAUAUCCGUUUGGUUUUGUGGUGCGGUGGUGUGACUUUUUGUGGUGCGACGGUGCGGGGUGUUUACGGUGGUCAUUCGGCGAUACAACGGUUCCAAACGAUAAUGAAUAUUUUAUGACUAACAAUAAUGAAUAUUUUAUAACUAACAUCAUAAAAAAAUAAUUCUAUUGACAUUGAUAAAAA